rnacentral:rRNA from 1 species
GGCGAAAGCCUGACGCAGCCAUGCCGCGUGAAUGAUGAAGGUCUUAGGAUUGUAAAAUUCUUUCACCCUGGGACGAUAAUGACGGUACCCGGAGAAGAAGCCCCGGCUAACUUCGUGCCAGCAGCCGCGGUAAUACGAAGGGGGCUAGCGUUGCUCGGAAUUACUGGGCGUAAAGGGCGCGUAGGCGGACAGUUUAGUCAGAGGUGAAAGCCCAGGGCUCAACCUUGGAAUUGCCUUUGAUACUGGCUGUCUUGAGUGCGGGAGAGGUGUGUGGAACUCCGAGUGUAGAGGUGAAAUUCGUAGAUAUUCGGAAGAACACCAGUGGCGAAGGCGACACACUGGCCCGUUACUGACGCUGAGGCGCGAAAGCGUGGGGAGCAAACAGGAUUAGAUACCCUGGUAGUCCACGCCGUAAACGAUGAGUGCUAGUUGUCGGCAUGCAUGCAUGUCGGUGACGCAGCUAACGCAUUAAGCACUCCGCCUGG